rnacentral:lncRNA from 1 species
GUUCAUCUCACCCUAUUGUUUUCUAGGAUCAAGUAAUCGAGCUUCUUUUGUUUCAAUUGCAGUCGUUUUUCUAAGAAUUUAUGUUUUCUAUUGUUUGAAGAUCUUAAUUUGCAUCUGUUUUACCCUCUCCUUGUUAUGAAUUUUGUAUUAUUCAAGGAGAUAUAACUGAUGCAUAAAGCUAAUUAAGGAUGGCUUACCAACGCAUUGCAUUUUUCACCUAUUGCUUUAGUGUCAAAUGGUCCUUCCUAAAUUAAUAUCUAUAAUAUAUUUUCAUUGAAUUG